CAAGAAAGUAACUACUGUUUCUGGACAAAUGGUAGAACCUUCUGCUGGGAAGAGGCCAAGAGGGAGGCCCCGCAAGUGGCCUCAACCAGUGACCGAAGGAGGAGUGUCUCAGGAAGGAAAUCCUCAGGGGAGUAGUGACUUGAAUAUGAGCACGGAAUCAGCCACACAAGGUUUGUAGUUAGAUCAUUACACAAGACUAAACUGUGCAGCCAUGCUCCUGGCAAACCUCGCUCUAGCAAACCCAAAGCUUUAGCACUGGCUG
rnacentral:lncRNA from 14 species